rnacentral:rRNA from 1 species
ACGCUGACGAGUGGCGAACGGGUGAGUAAUACAUCGGAACGUGCCCGAUCGAGGGGGAUAACGGAGCGAAAGCUUUGCUAAUACCGCAUAAGAUCUGAGGAUGAAAGCAGGGGACCGCAAGGCCUUGCGCGAACGGAGCGGCCGAUGGCAGAUUAGGUAGUUGGUGGGGUAAAAGCCUACCAAGCCGACGAUCUGUAGCUGGUCUGAGAGGACGACCAGCCACACUGGGACUGAGACACGGCCCAGACUCCUACGGGAGGCAGCAGUGGGGAAUUUUGGACAAUGGGCGCAAGCCUGAUCCAGCCAUGCCGCGUGCAGGAUGAAGGCCUUCGGGUUGUAAACUGCUUUUGUACGGAACGAAAGGGUCUUGGUGAAUAACUGGGGCAGAUGACGGUACCGUAAGAAUAAGCACCGGCUAACUACGUGCCAGCAGCCGCGGUAAUACGUAGGGUGCGAGCGUUAAUCGGAAUUACUGGGCGUAAAGCGUGCGCAGGCGGUCAUGCAAGACAGAUGUGAAAUCCCUGGGCUCAACCUGGGAACUGCAUAUGUGACUGUAUGGCUGGAGUACGGCAGAGGGGGGAUGGAAUUCCGCGUGUAGCAGUGAAAUGCGUAGAUAUGCCGGAGGA